rnacentral:rRNA from 1 species
GUCCUUUUGAUUAUAAUUUAAGGUCUAACCUGCCCACUGAAAAUUUAAAUGGCCGCAGUAUUUUGACUGUGCAAAGGUAGCAUAAUCAUUAGUUUCUUAAUUAGAAGCUGGUAUGAAUGGUUGGACGAGAAACUUUCUGUCUCAAUUUAUUAAUUAAAAUUUUAUUUUUAAGUUAAAAAGCUUAAAUGAUUUUAUUAGACGAGAAGACCCUAUAGAGUUUUAUAUUUUUAAUUAUUUAAUUUUUAGAAUUAUUAUUAUUAUUAACAUUAUUUUAUUGGGGUGAUAUAUAAAUUUAAUAAACUUUAUAUUUUAUUAACCAUAAAUUUAUGAGUUAUUGAUCCAUAAUUUAUGAUUAUAAGAAAAAAUUACCUUAGGGAUAACAGCGUUAUUUUUUUUUAGAGUUCUUAUCGAAAAAAAAGAUUGCGACCUCGAUGUUGGAUUAAAGUUAAUUUAUGGUGUAGAAGCUAUAAAAUUAGGUCUGUUCGACCUUUAAAACUUUACAUGAUCUGAGUUUAAACCGGUGUAAGCCAGGUUGGUUUCUAUCUUUAAAUAAAUUUAAUAUUUUAGUACGAAAGGACCAAAUAUUAUUAAUAUUUAGUUAUUUUUGAAUA